CGGGACGUGGCGCAGCCUGGUAGCGCAUCUGCUUUGGGAGCAGAGGGUCGGAGGUUCAAAUCCUCUCGUCCCGACC
rnacentral:tRNA from 1 species